CUGGACUGAGCUACAAUCAUCCAGGAGAUGCAGGAGUGAAGCUGCUGUCUGCUGGACUGGAGGAUCCAGACUGGAGACUGGACACUCUCAGGGUGGACCAUUGUGGACCACAGAGACUGAGACCUGGUGUGAGGAAGUAUUCCUGUGAACUGGAACUGGAUGAAAACACAGUGAACAGAGACCUCAGACUGUCUGACAACAACAGGACGGUGACAUGGGCGACAGAGGGUCAGUCAUAUCCUGAUCAUCCAGACAGAUUUGACUAUUGGCCUCAGCUGCUGUGUAGAACUGGUCUGACUGGUCGCUGUUACUGGGAGGUCGAGUGGAGAGGAGUGGUUCAUAUAUCAGUGAGUUACAGAAGAAUCAGAAGGAAAGGAAACACUGAGGACUGUUGGUUUGGAGGAAAUGAUCAGUCCUGGAGUCUGAUCUGCUCUGAUGAUUGUGGUCGUUACUCUGUCUGUCACAACAACAGAAAAACAUCCAUCUCCUCCUCCUGUGGCUCUCACAGAGUAGCAGUGUAUGUGGACUGUCCU